GAACAUGCUUAUCAGUUGUUUCUGACGACUGACAAUCAGUCAAACGGAACAAAAGAUCGACAUUUAGUUACUUUCUGAGAUUAAUAGACGGAAACGUCUUAAUUAAUUAUGAAUUCCCUUAAUUUGCGCUCUAUAAAAUUUGUAAAAUAUAUGGAGCCAAAUAUUUGAUUAUUGCACUGUUACGUUUUGUGAUAAUUCCAAGAUUAAGCUCAAUUUGAGGUUUAUAAUUUAUUAAAGAUUUUUUUUUUUAAUCCAUUGAGCUGCACUAUUUAUAUUUGAAAGAGGUAUUAGGGCUAAUUAAGCCUGUAACAGGCAAGACGGUGUUUAUUUGAUUAGUAGAAUGGUUUCUGUCUUGUUUGACGAGUUUCUCCCCGGGGAUGUUUAAGGCCUCAGCGGGCUAGUCAAGUUGGAGGCCUCGGCUGGAGCACAGGCCCAGGUGUUAUGGUACAUGUUCUCCUGUAGGUGGCGGUAGUGACCCAGACAGAAAGAUUCCCAGCAUCUUGAUGUUUUAAAUGGCUUCAACAAGACUUUAGGAGACGUCCACAUGUAGGGGUAAGCUACAUGGCUAAAUUACCGACAGACAUAUAGAGACGACGUUGGAAGGGUUUUUGUUUUAUCAGCGAGCUGAUUCUUAACGAAGUAGUUGACCUGAUGAAGCAGUUUUAGGAGGUUUCUUAGUUCCGCCUCCACUUUUAGUUUCUACGCAACAAUUACUCUAACUAUAUGAUCUCCCCCCCUCUUCGACAUUUCAAACGAUGUAGUUCAUAAGCUCCAUUUUGUGUGGCAACACAGAGCUGAGCUCCUCCGGUCUGCUGUCCGCCACAGGAGGGCUUCUGGGCUUAGAACUCCAAAAGUUCGUAAAUCCCUGGUGAAAUAUGAAUUUUUAUGAUGGCUGAAAACUCAGAACACAUCCUGUUUCCAUGAUGUCAGCGCAGGAAGUAAGAGCCACCUGCUAGCUGGGAAGACGCUGAAUUUACACAAGACCGUUCAAACCUGCAGUACCAAAGAAGCUCUGUGUCUGAAAAUAAUUCAGUGAAAAAUGAAGUACGUCUCGUCUGAGGAAGAGUUAGGUCUUCACCUGGACCAGAGGCAUCACAUUGUGCUAAAAACAUCAAAUAAGACGUUCAUCGUUCAAAGGUUGAGCCUGGCUCGGCAUCUUCCUCUGCGUCUCCCCGAUGAAACGUUUCUGGCGGAGGCAAACAUGGUGGUUUAGGAGUCUUAAAAGCUGCUGCCAACAUUUGGUGUAAAUUGUAGAUUAAUUUUAGUAAUCAUACCUCUGUUACAGCUAAACCAACCAGAAUACUGGUCAUCUAGUGGGGUGACACAGCAGUGUUCUCGUUCGUUGCUGAUGAUUGGCUCUGAAAGAAGUGUGGAACAUGUCAGGAACAGGAGUGAGAUAAACUCUGUGUUCAAAACCUAAACAAUAUUUAAUAUUGUCAUGCAACACUUCAUAGACACAGGCUGACCAGAGGGAUAACAAUCUUAUCUGGAAUGUGGUGAUCUCACAUUCCAAGAGUGAAACACAGAGAACAGAGGAUACAUCAGCAUUAACUGGCUGUGUCUCCCACCCACUUCAUCCCAUUUCUCCCCAACCUUUGACCUCUGCAUCUCCACCCCUCCCCCCAAGCACACAGAAAACGCUGCUCAUGUGCUCUUCUGAAGAGGGGAAGAAAAAUGAAAAAAUUCAGUUAAUUAUCAUUGAAUAUGUUAUAUGUAGCAAUGGAGUAACUUUAUUCUUAACAAAUAAAUGCAACAUUUUAUCUUUGUGUG